rnacentral:lncRNA from 1 species
CAAGAGUGCUGACUGAAGGAUUUGACCCCCUGCAAACAAUGGUGUUAUCUCAGAACCAUUGCCUAUGACCUUCUACAGAUGUGCUCAUUUCUCUGCGUUCAGCACUUCCGAGGUUGGAACAGGCAAGAUUGAAGCAGAGAUUGACUUGAAAGGCCUUGAGACUCCUCAAAAACAGCGUCCAGAGGAGGACUCAUUUCUUGUCCUUCAGGAAGAGAACAAAAGUAGUUCCAUGUGCCUAAGGUGGUUUGUCAUGAGACAUGGACAAUGACCAACAAGAAAUAGUGCAUAGAUUACAAAUGAUGAACACAUAGUAGUGUAUUUGUUUUCAAAUGCAAAAAUACUUCGCAAAUAACUUUGAUCAGAAAAUUCAUAAAUUACAACAGUUUGUUAUUAUUUUUCCAUUUGCUUAUCCAUCUAUGUUUAUAUUUUACCAAUCAGUUAUUUAAAUCAGCUCAUGUUGCUGCCAUGUUCUGUUUAUACUGAAGUAUCUGAACAGACAACGUUUUUACAGUACUGUGGUAAAUUUCAGUUGUGCAGAUCAGAGGAGAUCUUUUGUCUGUUUGUUUUCUUUGUGUGAUUUGCUUGAAGAAAAAAAAGCAAAUAAAGCAGAUGAAGUGAAGGAAAAAUCA